CCGAGACGCGACACCCGCCAAUCCCCAAGCCAGAAGACACGCCUGCGCACUAGCCGCCCUACACCCACUCGCCCUCGGAGCCCCGGCGUCCACCUUUCGCCGUAACAAAAGGACAUGGGCAUCCAAUCAGGAUUCAGGUCGACGAGGGGCGGGUCCGGGAAGGGCAAGAGCCAAUGACCGUGUAGAAGCGACGGUAAGCGUGAGAAAGCCAACGCCAGGGGAGUCUCUUGUGAAGUCUCAGCUGGAGCCUGAUAAUUGGGGUUAUUGAAAAUUCAUUGGAGAAUGAGUGCUGUCCCGAAUUUGGAUGCAGCUGCUGGUGGAGGGAGACAGAGGCUCCUGGCAUCUCCCUAAGAGGGUUGGUAAGUUGAUGCACCUGCAGAGAGAGAAACUGGGACCUCCUCCACAGAGAGAACCAUGGCAACCAUGAAUGAACCUUUUCCUCCAUUAAGAACCAUCCCAUUAGCGGGCAGGUCACCUACAAGGGGAAACCAACAGGACAAGAUCUUCCAACUCCCAUUUCAAAAUAAAAACAACCAG